AACUUGAGGGUUGAGGUGUAACAUGCGGGUUGUGAUGAAAUGAUUGGGAGUAACUGAGUUGAAGGUAAAGAGAUUGGGAUUGAUGGAGAGUAUUUCGUAGUGCUUGAGGGCAAGCAGAAGAUAAGUGUGUGGGAGUUUGAUAGUGCCUAAAAAGGACAUCUUUAUCAGGCACUUUUUGGUAGUUAAACUUGAUGGUACACUAUCUAAUCUGAGUUAUU
rnacentral:lncRNA from 1 species